GCUUAACACAUGCAAGUCGAGGGGCAGCAUGGUCUUAGCUUGCUAAGGCCGAUGGCGACCGGCGCACGGGUGAGUAACACGUAUCCAACCUGCCGUCUACUCUUGGACAGCCUUCUGAAAGGAAGAUUAAUACAAGAUGGCAUCAUGAGUCCGCAUGUUCACAUGAUUAAAGGUAUUCCGGUAGACGAUGGGGAUGCGUUCCAUUAGAUAGUAGGCGGGGUAACGGCCCACCUAGUCUUCGAUGGAUAGGGGUUCUGAGAGGAAGGUCCCCCACAUUGGAACUGAGACACGGUCCAAACUCCUACGGGAGGCAGCAGUGAGGAAUAUUGGUCAAUGGGCGAGAGCCUGAACCAGCCAGGUAGCGUGAAGGAUGACUGCCCUAUGGGUUGUAAACUUCUUUUAUAAAGGAAUAAAGUCGGGUAUGCAUACCCGUUUGCAUGUACUUUAUGAAUAAGGAUCGGCUAACUCCGUGCCAGCAGCCGCGGUAAUACGGAGGAUCCGAGCGUUAUCCGGAUUUAUUGGGUUUAAAAGGAGCGUAGAUGGAUGUUUAAGUCAGUUGUGAAAGUUUGCGGCUCAACCGUAAAAUUGCAGUUGAUACUGGAUAUCUUGAGUGCAGUUGAGGCAGGCGGAAUUCGUGGUGUAGCGGUGAAAUGCUUAGAUAUCACGAAGAACUCCGAUUGCGAAGGCAGCCUGCUAAGCUGCAACUGACAUUGAGGCUCGAAAGUGUGGGUAUCAAACAGGAUUAGAUACCCUGGUAGUCCACACGGUAAACGAUGAAUACUCGCUGUUUGCGAUAUACAGCAAGCGGCCAAGCGAAAGCGUUAAGUAUUCCACCUGGGGAGUACGCCGGCAACGGUGAAACUCAAAGGAAUUGACGGGGGCCCGCACAAGCGGAGGAACAUGUGGUUUAAUUCGAUGAUACGCGAGGAACCUUACCCGGGCUUAAAUUGCAGAUGAAUUACGGUGAAAGCCGUAAGCCGCAAGGCAUCUGUGAAGGUGUUGCAUGGUUGUCGUCAGCUCGUGCCGUGAGGUGUCGGCUUAAGUGCCAUAACGAGCGCAACCCUUGUUGUCAGUUACUAACAGGUUCCGCUGAGGACUCUGACAAGACUGCCAUCGUAAGAUGUGAGGAAGGUGGGGAUGACGUCAAAUCAGCACGGCCCUUACGUCCGGGGCUACACACGUGUUACAAUGGGGGGGUACAGAGGGCCGCUACCACGCGAGUGGAUGCCAAUCCCAAAAACCUCUCUCAGUUCGGACUGGAGUCUGCAACCCGACUCCACGAAGCUGGAUUCGCUAGUAAUCGCGCAUCAGCCACGGCGCGGUGAAUACGUUCCCGGGCCUUGUACACACCGCCCGUCAAGCCAUGGGAGCCGGGGGUACCUGAAGUGCGUAACCGCGAGGAGCGCCCUAGGGUAAAACUGGUGACUGGGGCUAAGUCGUA
rnacentral:rRNA from 1 species